UACGGGGGGGGCAAGCGUUGUUCGGAAUUACUGGGCGUAAAGGGUUCGUAGGUGGCCAACUAAGUCAGACGUGAAAUCCCUCAGCUUAACUGGGGAACUGCGUCUGAUACUGGUUGGCUUGAGUGCAGGAGAGGAACGCGGAAUUCCAGGUGUAGCGGUGAAAUGCGUAGAUAUCUGGAGGAACACCGGUGGCGAAGGCGGCGUUCUGGACUGCAACUGACGCUGAGACACGAAAGCGUGGGUAGCAAACAGG
rnacentral:rRNA from 1 species